GACGAACGCUGGCGGCGUGCUUAACACAUGCAAGUCGAACGGAAAGGCCCUGCUUUUGUGGGGUGCUCGAGUGGCGAACGGGUGAGUAACACGUGAGUAACCUGCCCUUGACUUUGGGAUAACUUCAGGAAACUGGGGCUAAUACCGGAUAGGAGCUCCUGCUGCAUGGUGGGGGUUGGAAAGUUUCGGCGGUUGGGGAUGGACUCGCGGCUUAUCAGCUUGUUGGUGGGGUAGUGGCUUACCAAGGCUUUGACGGGUAGCCGGCCUGAGAGGGUGACCGGCCACAUUGGGACUGAGAUACGGCCCAGACUCCUACGGGAGGCAGCAGUGGGGAAUAUGGCAGAAUGGGCGGAAGCCUGAUGCAGCAACGCCGCGUGCGGGAUGACGGCCUUCGGGUUGUAAACCGCUUUCGCCUGUGACGAAGCGUGAGUGACGGUAAUGGGUAAAGAAGCACCGGCUAACUACGUG
rnacentral:rRNA from 1 species